rnacentral:rRNA from 1 species
UACGUAGGGGGCAAGCGUUGUCCGGAUUUAUUGGGCGUAAAGAGCGUGUAGGCGGCCGUACAGGUCAGCUGUGAAAACUCGAGGCUCAACCUCGAGACGUCGGUUGAAACCGUACGGCUAGAGUCCGGAAGAGGAGAGUGGAAUUCCCGGUGUAGCAGUGAAAUGCGCAGAUAUCGGGAAGAACACCCGUGGCUAAGGCGGCUCUCUAGUACGGUACUGACGCUGAGACGCGAAAGCGUGGGGAGCGAACAGG